rnacentral:tRNA from 1 species
GCCGAGAUCGCCUAAUCCGGUAUGGCACUGGUCUUGAGAACCAGCGAGCGAAAGCUCUUGGGAGUUCAAAUCUCCCUCUCGGCG